rnacentral:lncRNA from 1 species
AUGUCAGUUAGAAGGAACCUAAAAGAUCAAGUUAUUCAACUCACUCUUCACAGAGAAGGGAGCUGGGUUCACCAAAAUGAAGGCUCUGGUCAAAGUCACUCAAAUACAAAAUGCCAGAACAGGACCAAGGGCAAGGUCCAUCUCCAGGUCAUGACAUCAAGGCUCAAAGACCUCCCUAGGCAGUUCCUGUUAGCCAUCCUUCAGAGGGUCGAUGCUGGGGCACAGUGUGAGCAGAAGAUGUAAAACCUGUUCUUCCUCUCGCGGAUGAUCUGCUACUACUUCAUUCUGAGCUGGGGAAAAUUGCAUGUGCAUCUGGUGACCUCCUUUUCUAUGGAGUGAAACCAUCUGGAAAUGUGAUUGUGAAGCUUGCUGAGCAGGAAAGAGAGAGCUGGAAAGUGAAGCCCAGGCUUUAUACUACCUCAGCUCUGAAACAGUAUGCAUCACUCUUGCUGUGGUUCAUUGGCCGGAUCUAGUCAAAUGGCCCCAAACUAACUUCAAGAGUCAGGGAAAUGCAAUUGCUAUGAACACUACACAUCUCUGCCAAUAACAACAAAGAUUGAAAUUCCUUUCACCUGGAGGUAAAAUUGAGUUCGAUGUAAAAGAAAUGAAGUCAGGAGUUCCCAAUUGUGAUGCAGUGGAAAUGAAUCUGACUAGUAUCCGUGAGAAUGUGGGUUCCAUCCCUGGCCUUGCUCAGUGGGUCAUGGAUCCAGUGUUGCAGCAAGCUGUGGUGUAGGUCGCAGACCUGGUCGCAAAUCCUGUGCUGCUGUGGCUGUGGCGUAGGCCAUCAGCUUCAGCCCUGAUUCACCCUGAUUCAAGCUUGGGAACUUCCAUAUGCCCUAGGUGCUGCCCUAAAAAGAAAAAAAAAAGAAAGAAAAUUAAAAAAAUGAAGUAAUCUGACAAUUUCUAUGUACUUUUUUUUUUGGUUUUCUGGAGUGAUUUUUUUUUUUUUUAACCUAUGUCAAAUGUUGCAGACCGAGCUGCUUUAAGCUGAAGCAUGUGGAUCAUGCAUCCUGAGUUUGUUUAAUGCACAUAUCACACAC